CAAUAGCGUAUAUUAAAGUUGUUGCGGUAAAAAAGCUCGUAGUUGGAUUUCUACCGAAGAUAGCCGGUCGGGUCUUCGACCUUGUAUCUGGUUUUGUCUUUGGUAUCCUCAUAGGGAACGUUUCUGCGCUUUAUUGCGUGGUGCGGUAUCUAUGACUUUUACUUUGAGGAAAUUAGAGUGUUCACGGCAGGCAAACGCCUUGAAUAUAUUAGCAUGGAAUAAUAACAUAGGAUCUUCGUCCUAUUUUGUUGGUUUCUAGGGCUAAGAUAAUGAUUAAUAGGGAUAAUUGGGGGCAUCUGUAUCAACGCGUCAGAGGUGGAAUUCUUGGAUUGCGUUGCGACAAACUACUGCGAAAGCAUUUGCCAAGGAUGUAUUCAUUGA
rnacentral:rRNA from 1 species